AACCGAUUCGCUCACAAUAAACCAGUCCAUCUAUAGAUAGGUGUUUUAGGAUAAACUCAUCAAUGAAGUGUCCAGUCAUUGUUUUUUAAAUUCCUUUGAUGACACUUAUAGGUGAUUAGAAAUCAGUAAUAAUUAUAACGGCUAUCAUCCUUAUCACACACAUCUUCAAAUGGGCUGUCCUUAUGCAAAUUAAAACGUAAGCUCCGCCCGAU
rnacentral:lncRNA from 1 species